rnacentral:rRNA from 1 species
UACAGAGGUGGCAAGCGUUGUUCGGAAUUACUGGGCGUAAAGGGCUCGUAGGUGGCCAACUAAGUCAUACGUGAAAUCCCUCGGCUUAACCGGGGGAACUGCGUCUGAUACUGGAUGGCUUGAGUUCGGGAGAGGGAUGCGGAAUUCCAGGUGUAGCGGUGAAAUGCGUAGAUAUCUGGAGGAACACCGGUGGCGAAGGCGGCAUCCUGGACCGAUACUGACGCUGAGGAGCGAAAGCCAGGGGAGCAAACGGGG